rnacentral:rRNA from 1 species
UACGAAGGGGGCUAGCGUUGUUCGGAUUUACUGGGCGUAAAGGGCGCGUAGGCGGAUUUUUAAGUCAGGGGUGAAAUCCCGAGGCUCAACCUCGGAAUUGCCUUUGAUACUGGAAGUCUUGAGUUCGGAAGAGGUGAGUGGAAUUGUGAGUGUAGAGGUGAAAUUCGUAGAUAUUCACAAGAACACCGGUGGCGAAGGCGGCUCACUGGUCCGAUACUGACGCUGAGGCGCGAAAGCGUGGGGAGCAAACAGG